rnacentral:rRNA from 1 species
AGAUUGAACGCUGGCGGCAGGCCUAACACAUGCAAGUCGAGCGGUAGAGAGGUGCUUGCACCUCUUGAGAGCGGCGGACGGGUGAGUAAUUCCUAGGAAUCUGCCUAGUGGUGGGGGAUAACGUUCGGAAACGGACGCUAAUACCGCAUACGUCCUACGGGAGAAAGCGGGGGACCUUCGGGCCUCGCGCCAUUAGAUGAGCCUAGGUCGGAUUAGCUAGUUGGUGAGGUAAUGGCUCACCAAGGCGACGAUCCGUAACUGGUCUGAGAGGAUGAUCAGUCACACUGGAACUGAGACACGGUCCAGACUCCGUACGGGGAGGCAGCAGGUGGGGGAAUAGUUGGAACUAAGUGGGGACGAAAGUCCCGUAGACU